GAUGAACGCUAGCGGCAGGCCUAACACAUGCAAGUCGAGGGGCAGCACGUCUUCGGAUGGUGGCGACCGGCGCACGGGUGCGUAACGCGUAUGCAACCUACCUCUUACAGUGGGAUAGCCCAGAGAAAUUUGGAUUAAUACCGCAUAGUAUACAGAUUCAGCAUUGGGACUGUAUUAAACAUUUAUGGGUAAGAGAUGGGCAUGCGUUCUAUUAGUUAGUUGGAGUGGUAACGGCACCCCAAGACAGCGAUAGAUAGGGGCCCUGAGAGGGGGAUCCCCCGACACUGGUACUGAGACACGGACCAGACUCCUACGGGAGGCAGCAGUGAGGAAUAUUGGACAAUGGGGCGAGGGAC
rnacentral:rRNA from 1 species